rnacentral:rRNA from 1 species
UGAGGAAUAUUGGUCAAUGGGGGCAACCCUGAACCAGCCAAGUCGCGUGAAGGAUGAAGGUCUUAUGGAUUGUAAACUUCUUUUACACGGGAAUAAAGUGGGGGACGUGUCCCCCUUUGCAUGUACCGUGUGAAUAAGGAUCGGCUAACUCCGUGCCAGCAGCCGCGGUAAUACGAAGGAUCCGAGCGUUAUCCGGAUUUAUUGGGUUUAAAGGGUGCGCAGGCGGGAUGUUAAGUCGGCGGUGAAAUUUUGCAGCUCAACUGUAAAAGUGCCUUCGAUACUGGCCUCCUUGAGUGUGGAUGAAGUAGGCGGAAUUUGUGGUGUAGCGGUGAAAUGCUUAGAUAUCACGAGGAACUCCGAUUGCGCAGGCAGCUUACUAAGCCACAACUGACGCUCAUGCACGAAGGCGUGGGGAUCAAACA